CUCUCUCCUCCCUGCGGGGACGGAGGAGACACUGAUCUGCUGCGCCUUUCGAAAUUCUUCGGAGCCGUGCUGCUGGAAUUCUCUUGUGCUUCCGUCCUGAAGAAUGCUGAAUACUGUGAAAAACUGAGGUAAGGGCGCUUGACGAUUUGUGAGUUGGAGACAGCAUCUUUGGAUCAGGUGACUGUACUUCUAAUUAACAUUGUAUUUGGGGUUGAAGGAGAGAUGGGAGAAGGUGGAACUGCAUGAUCAUUUGGGUUCUGGAGAAUUUCCAAAGAAAUGGAAAAUUGCCAAUGUGACACCUCUAUUCAUUAAGAAAAGGAGGCAAAAAGCAGGUUCCAAAACUCGGUUAGCAAAAACUCCAACAACUAGUUCCCACAUUGCAGCAACCCGGAAACUAUGCAAAGGAGAAAAGGAGCACCUAAACAGAGUCUUCAAAAAGAAUGGAUAUCUGAAAGCAUAACCCGCUGUUAACUCUAAGACAGACCACAGCAGGAAGACACAACACAACCAGAUUCACUACUCACUCUACCACACAUCAAGGAUAUUUCAGAGAAGACCACAAGACUACUCAGACCCCUAGGUAUCAGGUUAGCCCACAAACCACCCUGCGACAGUGACAAGGAUCUCACAUUCAAAACUAGCAAAGCCAGUGUAAUAUACAAAAUACCAUGCAAGGACUAUGAGAAACACUACAUAGGCCAAACUGAAAGAAAACUGACAAUACAGAUACAUGAACACCAGCUAGCCACCAAGAGACAUGACCAAUUCUCACUUGUCUCACUACACACAGACAACAAGGGACACGAAUUCGACUGGGACAACACAUCCAUAAUCGCACAAGCCAAACAAAGACACACCAGGUAAUUCCUGAAGCCCUGGUAUUCUAACUAGAACUCCAUCAACAAGCACAUUGAAUUAGACUCUGUGUACAAACCACUGAGAAAAUGAACUGGAAAUGCUACCAAAAACUCCAACAAACUGAGGCAUGUAAAUAACAAGUGGGACAGAACACCGACGCUUUACCGGCAGUGCACUGAUGUUACCUAGCAAGGUGACAAAACACUUGCAACCAAACCCACCAGCCUGGCAAGCAUGUCGACAACCUCAUCCACAACCCGAGCUACAAAUCUUCUCGAAACCUUGAAAUUCCUAGUCUUCCCUAAGUCAUCGAGAAACCUAUACGAUGCGUCUCCCUUGGAUUCAAAGCGCGUGAAGUUACACUUUUCCAUAAUAAAUUCCAUCGGCCAUAGUUUGAGCCACUCACAUAUUUUGUCUAUGUUCUCUUACACCAUUUUAUAUUGCUUACUGUGCAUCCUUACUUAGUUUUAGUGGCAAUGUUGCAUAUACAACUUUCCACAGCUUUAAAAGAAAUACUUACCUGUACACUGAAUAGUUGAUGUCCCAAUAAAGAUUACACGGGGAAACUGUACAAGCUGCAUUCUGUUUCUCACGAAAUUGUCCCUUUUUGUCUCCACUAUUUUACAGCCAAUUAUCAAUCCAUAUCGCAAGGUCACCUCCAAUUAUGUACACUUGCAUUUUUACUGGUAAUUUCUCGUGUUGAAUCUUAUUAAAUGCAAUCACA